AGAGUUUGAUCCUGGCUCAGAUUGAACGCUGGCGGCAUGCCUUACACAUGCAAGUCGAACGGUAACAGGUCUUCGGAUGCUGACGAGUGGCGAACGGGUGAGUAAUACAUCGGAACGUGCCCGAGAGUGGGGGAUAGCGAAGCGAAAGCUUUGCUAAUACCGCAUACGAUCUCAGGAUGAAAGCAGGGGACCGCAAGGCCUUGCGCUCACGGAGCGGCCGAUGGCAGAUUAGGUAGUUGGUGGGAUAAAAGCUUACCAAGCCGACGAUCUGUAGCUGGUCUGAGAGGACGACCAGCCACACUGGGACUGAGACACGGCCCAGACUCCUACGGGAGGCAGCAGUGGGGAAUUUUGGACAAUGGGCGCAAGCCUGAUCCAGCCAUGCCGCGUGCAGGAUGAAGGCCUUCGGGUCGUAAACUGCUUUUGUACGGAACGAAAAGACUCUGGUUAAUACCUGGGGUCCAUGACGGUACCGUAAGAAUAAGCACCGGCUAACUACGUGCCAGCAGCCGCGGUAAUACGUAGGGUGCGAGCGUUAAUCGGAAUUACUGGGCGUAAAGCGUGCGCAGGCGGUUAUAUAAGACAGAUGUGAAAUCCCCGGGCUCAACCUGGGGAACUGCAUUUGUGACUGUAUAGCUAGAGUACGGCAGGAGGGGGGAUGGAAUUCCGCGUGGUAGCAGUGAAAUGCGUAGGAUAUGCGGGAGGAACACCGAUGGCGAAGGCAAUCCCCUGGGCCUGUACUGACGCUCAUGCACGAAAGCGUGGGGAGCAAAC
rnacentral:rRNA from 1 species